rnacentral:rRNA from 1 species
GUAACCUGCCCAUAAGACUGGGAUAACUCCGGGAAACCGGGGCUAAUACCGGAUAACAUUUUGAACCGCAUGGUUCGAAAUUGAAAGGUGGCUUCGGCUGCCACUUAUGGAUGGACCCGCGUCGCAUUAGCUAGUUGGUGAGGUAACGGCUCACCAAGGCAAUGAUGCGUAGCCGACCUGAGAGGGUGAUCGGCCACACUGGGACUGAGACACGGCCCAGACUCCUACGGGAGGCAGCAGUAGGGAAUCUU